AUACCACCCGAUAAGAGAGAACUUCCAUCACUUAGUUCAAUUAAUCUUUGAGAUUGUUAUUUCGGUCGCCACCGCAUUUUUGAUACUUUGAAACAAUGAUACAUCAAUAAGAGACAUAUAAAUAGACCAUCAAUGCAAUAACAAUGAAGUAAGAACCCAUUGGCACAUCAAUGAAGUGUUUUGGAGUCAUCAAUGCCUUAACAAAGAAGUAGGAAGUUAUUGGUAUAUCAAUGAAAC
rnacentral:lncRNA from 1 species